GUGGACAGAUGGGUGUUGGAUGGAUGGAUAGAUGGACGGAUGGAUGUGCUCUGCAUGAUUUUUCAUAGAACCUGAGACUUGAGGUCCUUUAGCUGUCUAGAAAUGCACUUAAUUUGGGGUCUGCUGUAGUCGAUAUUCAGAAAGUGUUUAGUCAGUCAUUUUUAAUAUGAAAAUCAUCAAAACAGAUUUAACAACUGAGUAAUAAUAAAGACAAAUAAAGCUCAGAGAACAUACAAGAUUGGCAGACUCUUCAAAGAAUAGCUACCAAUUAGAUGGGCAGGGGCGUAGAAAAUGGACUAAAGCUUUUUUAUAUUAUAAUUGCAAGUGGAUAACCAUUUUAUUUUCAAUAGUAAGAUGUUUUCAGUCAAUCCUAAGUCUGCAGUGUAACUUUGAAUUUCUUUAUGGUACAUAGUACUUCAAGUAGUUGAUGACUUACAGAGUAUUUUGUAGAAAUGAAUGUUACAGUCAACCUGUUUCCAGCCAUUAUGAAUCUCUCUUAGUUAAAGGCAAUAUUUGGUGGUAUUUAACUUUGUGACUUAAUAAUUUAUUGCAUCAUCAAAUAAAUACCGUCUUUAUUGUAUGUUUGGGAUGAUUAUGGGAACCUUCAGGCGAGAGACUGAAACUUACUAAAACCCAUUCUCUGAAGAUAUUGCAAGUUUCAGUUUUGGGUCAUAGCAUUUCUUCUCAAAUAUAAUUGCCUGAAAGAAGGUAAACCAUGUAUUUUUUUCCAGUGUAGUGUUAUUGCUCAUUAUCAGCUGGUGGACAUGGGAACAACUUAAUAAAGUUUAGGUAAUUUAGUUUUCAGUUUAAAUUCUCAACUGGCAAUUGGCCGAAAAUUCCCAUCUGAAGAAGGGAGCACCCAAAUGCAUUUUGGUUACUGUCUACUUGGCAUAGGAAGGCACCAUCAAGAAUAAUGGAGAGACUAGCACCAAAAGGAAAUCAAUGGAUAAUCUUAAACUUCCACCACAAGAAGACUGUAGAGGGCCCUCCCGCACCAAGAACCAUCUGCAGAUCUUUUUCAGUGUUCUUGGAGGUGGGCUGAGAGCUUGAUCAGUUUGUGUCAGCCACCUUGUUCUCUAAAGAGCUGAAGAUUGAACCCAGAGC